rnacentral:rRNA from 1 species
AAUACAUGCAAGUCGAGCGCAGGAAGUCAUCCGAACCCUUCGGGGGGACGUUGACGGAAUGAGCGGCGGACGGGUGAGUAACACGUAAAGAACCUGCCCUCAGGUCUGGGAUAACCACGAGAAAUCGGGGCUAAUACCGGAUGGGUCAUCGGACCGCAUGGUCCGAGGAUGAAAGGCGCUCCGGCGUCGCCUGGGGAUGGCUUUGCGGUGCAUUAGCUAGUUGGUGGGGUAAUGGCCCACCAAGGCGACGAUGCAUAGCCGACCUGAGAGGGUGAUCGGCCACACUGGGACUGAGACACGGCCCAGACUCCUACGGGAGGCAGCAGUAGGGAAUCUUCCACAAUGGACGAAAGUCUGAUGGAGCAACGCCGCGUGAACGAUGAAGGCCUUCGGGUCGUAAAGUUCUGUUGUAAGGGAAGAACAAGUGCCGCAGGCAAUGGCGGCACCUUGACGGUACCUUGCGAGAAAGCCACGGCUAACUACGUGCCAGCAGCCGCGGUAAUACGUAGGUGGCAAGCGUUGUCCGGAAUUAUUGGGCGUAAAGCGCGCGCAGGCGGCCUCUUAAGUCUGAUGUGAAAGCCCCCGGCUCAACCGGGGAGGGCCAUUGGAAACUGGGAGGCUUGAGUAUAGGAGAGAAGAGUGGAAUUUCACGUGUAGCGGUGAAAUGCGUAAAAAUGUGGAGGAACACCAGUGGCGAAGGCGACUCUUUGGCCUAUAACUGACGCUGAGGCGCAAAGCGUNGGGANCAACAGGAUUAAAUACC